GGUCAAGUUAUUAAGGGCUUACGGUGGAUGCCUUGGGACCAAAAGCCGAUGAAGGGCGCGGCAAGGCUGCGUUAAGCCUCGAUGAGCCGUCUAGCGGGCAUAGUCGGGGAUACCCGAAUGGGGAAACCUUAUCCGGUGUUGAGUCGGAUAAUCCCGGUGUAAACCGGGAGGGUAAGCGGGGGAACUGAAACAUCUAAGUACCCCGAGGAAAAUAAAUCAACCGAGAUUCCCUCAGUAGUGGCGAACGAACGGGGAUCAGCCUAAACCAGUACGACUUAGUGGUAUAAGGACCUAUGUCGUACCGGUGUUGUAGGGACUGCCUAGAGCCACCUUAUUAGGCUCAAAUGAGUUACAAAUCUUAUUCCUAGUCGAAGGAUCCUGGGAAGGACCGUCAUAGAGGGUGAUAGCCCCGUAGGCGAAAGGGAUAGGACUCAUGGCGUGUUACCUGAGUACCACGGGGCACGGGAAACCUUGUGGGAAUCCGGGGGGACCACCCUCCAAGGCUAAAUACUUUUGGUCACCGAUAGCGUACCAGUACCGUGAGGGAAAGGUGAAAAGAACCCCUAGCGGGGAGUGAAAUAGACCUGAAACCGUGAGCUUACAGAAGGUCGUAGUCCUGAUUUAUCAGGAUGUCGGCGUGCCUAUUGAAGAAUGAUCCAGGGACUUACUCUAUGUAGCGAGGUUAAGAAACUGUAGUUUCGGAGCCGAAGCGAAAGCGAGUCUGAAUAGGGCGACUAGUUUCAUAGAGUAGACCCGAAACCGAGUGAGCUAACCAUGGCCAGAUUGAAGGUCCGGUAACACGGACUGAAGGAUCGAACCCGUAGCUGGUACAAAAGCUUGGGAUGAGCUGUGGUUAGAGGAGAAAUUCCAAUCGAACUCGGAAAUAGCUGGUUCUCCCCGAAAUGUAUUUAGGUACAGCCUCGGACUAUAGAUGAACGGAGGUAGGGCACUGAAUGGGCUAGGGGCCGUAAGGUUACCAAACCCAAUCAAACCACCAAUGCCGUUUAAUUGUUAUCCGGGAGUGAGACAGUCACAGAUAAGUGCGAUUGUCGAAAGGGAAACAGCCCAGACCACCGGCUAAGGCCCCUAAGUGCGGGCUAAGUGGGAAACGAGGUGGGAUUCCCUAGACAACUAGGAGGUUGGCUUAGAAGCAGCCACCCUCUAAAGAAAGCGUAAUAGCUCACUGGUCUAGCGAACCUGCGCCGAAAAUGUAACGGGGCUAA
rnacentral:rRNA from 1 species